CGACUAUGUCUUACAGGGUACCCGUAGAGUUUCGUCUGUAACCUUACAGUACCGUGACCCCAGAGUCACGGCGAGGUGAUACCGUGGUACCUGCCCAUAACUGGAUACUCCGGGAAACGGGGCUAAUACGGAUAACAUUUUGAACCGCUGGUUCGAAAUUGAAAGGCCUUCGCUGUCACUUAUGGAUGGACCCGCUCCAUUACUAUUGGGGGUACGGCUCACCAGCACGCACCACCUGAAGGUGACGCCCCUGACUGAACCGCCCAUCUCGGGAGGCCUGGAAUCUUCCCAUGAAUCACGACACCCGGGGGUGAUGAGGCUCGGAAACCUGUGUAGAAACAUGCAC
rnacentral:rRNA from 1 species